CUGGGUAGCUAUGUCCGGAAGGGAUAACCGCUGAAAGCAUCUAAGCGGGAAGCCCACCCCAAGAUAAGAGCUCCCUGGAUGUCGCAAGACAUCCUGAAGGCCCCUUGAAGACUACGAGGUUGAUAGGCCGGGCGUGGAAGCGUGGUAACACGUGGAGCGAACCGGUACUAAUGGGCCGAUCGGCUUGGCCAU
rnacentral:rRNA from 1 species